UAGUUUUGCCAACUGCUUAAGAUCCCCUA
rnacentral:piRNA from 1 species